AGCUGUCAGCACAGAGCCCAAAGUGGGGCUCGAACUCACCAACGAGACUCGCUUAGAAGUCUCAAAAGGAUACUUCUCUCGGUAACGAAUCCUACCUCCCAGUGCCAGCAGCAUGUGGCCAAAUGGUGGUCCACUGCCAUCCAAAAAGAAGAUCCGCUUCAUGUAAAAAGAGAUGUACUGCCCAUAAUACACUUCAUCGAAACUGAAAAGCAAACCCACGUGAGAUUCAACCGGAAAUCUUCAGCAAACAAAGGCGCAAGGGUAACCAUAUACCUGUUCC